rnacentral:rRNA from 1 species
AAAACUGUCUCUUACGGACUAGCCAAUGAAAUUGAUCCUUCAGUACAAAAGCUGGAAUUAACCCAUAAGACGAGAAGACCCUGUGGAGCUUCAAAACCAAAAUCACUAAACAUGCCUCCUGGUUUUUUAGUUGGGGCGACUUUGGAGCAAAAAAAAUCCUCCAAAACAUAAAGUCAUUUAUUAAGAAAAACACACCAAAAAUAAUAUUAUAGACCCAGCAGUACUAGUUUACUGUCUGAUCAAUGAACCAAGUUACCCCAGGGAUAACAGCGCCAUCCUCUUCUAGAGUCCUUAUCGACAAGAGGGUUUACGACCUCGAUGUUGGAUCAGGACAC